rnacentral:rRNA from 1 species
UACGUAGGGCGCAAGCGUUGUCCGGAAUUAUUGGGCGUAAAGAGCUCGUAGGCGGUUUGUCGCGUCUGCUGUGAAAACUCGAGGCUCAACCUCGGGCUUGCAGUGGGUACGGGCAGACUAGAGUGCGGUAGGGGAGACUGGAAUUCCUGGUGUAGCGGUGGAAUGCGCAGAUAUCAGGAGGAACACCGGUGGCGAAGGCGGGUCUCUGGGCCGAUACUGACGCUGGAGGAAGCGGAAAAGCGUGGGUAGCAAACAGG